rnacentral:rRNA from 1 species
GGUCAUAUGAUGCGGGCUGGAACCCUCCAGCCGGGCACUGCUUCACGGCGUGCGCGGCUGGAGCCGGCCCUGCUGAAUUAUUCACCCGUGUCUUUUGCGUACUUCUUGUUUCCUGGGUGGGCUCGCCCGCCAUCAGGACCAACCAUAAACCUUUUUGUAAUAGCAAUCAGCGUCAGUAACAACGUAAUUAAUUACAACUUUCAACAACGGAUCUCUUGGUUCUGGCAUCGAUGAAGAACGCAGCGAAAUGCGAUACGUAGUGUGAAUUGCAGAAUUCAGUGAAUCAUCGAAUCUUUGAACGCACAUUGCGCCCUUUGGUAUUCCAAAGGGCAUGCCUGUUCGAGCGUCAUUUGUACCCUCAAGCUUUGCUUGGUGUUGGGCGUCUUUUGUCUCCAGCUCGCUGGAGACUCGCCUUAAAGUCAUUGGCAGCCGGCCUACUGGUUUCGGAGCGCAGCACAAGUCGCGCUCUUGCCCAGCCAAGGUCAGCGUCCAGCAAGCCUUUUUUCAACCUUUGACCUCGGAUCAGGUAGGGAUACCCGCUGAACUUAAGCAUAUCAUAACCC